UGGGGAAUAUUGCACAAUGGGCGCAAGCCUGAUGCAGCCAUGCCGCGUGUGUGAAGAAGGCCUUCGGGUUGUAAAGUACUUUCAGCCGGGAGGAAGGUGGUAAGGUUAAUAACCUUAUCAAUUGACGUUACUGACAGAAGAAGCACCGGCUAACUCCGUGCCAGCAGCCGCGGUAACACGGAGGGUGCAAGCGUUAAUCGGAAUUACUGGGCGUAAAGCGCACGCAGGCGGUUGAUUGAGUCAGAUGUGAAAUCCCCGGGCUUAACCUGGGAACUGCAUUCGAAACUGUCAGGCUAGAGUCUUGUAGAGGGGGGUAGAAUUCCCGGUGUAGCGGUGAAAUGCGUAGAGAUCUGGAGGAAUACCGGUGGCGAAGGCGGCCCCCUGGACAAAUACUAACGCUCAGGUGCGAAAGCGUGGGGAGCAAACAGG
rnacentral:rRNA from 1 species